GAUGAACGCUGGCGGCGUGCCUAAUACAUGCAAGUCGAGCGAAUGGAUUAAGAGCUUGCUCUUAUGAAGUUAGCGGCGGACGGGUGAGUAACACGUGGGUAACCUGCUCAUAAGACUGGGAUAACUCCGGGAAACCGGGGCUAAUACCGGAUAACAUUUUGAACCGCAUGGUUCGAAAUUGAAAGGCGGCUUCGGCUGUCACUUAUGGAUGGACCCGCGUCGCAUUAGCUAGUUGGUGAGGUAACGGCUAACCAAGCCAACGAUGCGUAGCCGACCUGAGUGGGUGAUAGGCCACAAUGGGACUGGGACACGGCCCAGACUCCUACGGGAGGAAGCAGUAGGGAAUCUUCCGCAAUGGACGAAAGUCUGACGGAGCAACGCCGCGUGAGUGAUGAAGGCUUUCGGGUCGUAAAACUCUGUUGUUAGGGAAGAACAAGUGCUAGUUGAAUAAGCUGGCACCUUGACGGUACCUAACCAGAAAGCCACGGCUAACUACGUGCCAGCCACCGCGGUAA
rnacentral:rRNA from 1 species